rnacentral:rRNA from 1 species
UGGGGAAUUUUGGACAAUGGGCGAAAGCCUGAUCCAGCAAUGCCGCGUGUGUGAAGAAGGCCUUCGGGUUGUAAAGCACUUUUGUCCGGAAAGAAAUCCUUGGCUCUAAUACAGUCGGGGGAUGACGGUACCGGAAGAAUAAGCACCGGCUAACUACGUGCCAGCAGCCGCGGUAAUACGUAGGGUGCAAGCGUUAAUCGGAAUUACUGGGCGUAAAGCGUGCGCAGGCGGUUUGCUAAGACCGAUGUGAAAUCCCCGGGGCUCAACCUGGGAACUGCAUUGGUGACUGGGCAGGCUAGAGUAUGGCAGAGGGGGGUAGAAUUCCACGUGUAGCAGUGAAAUGCGUAGAGAUGUGGAGGAAUACCGAUGGCGAAGGCAGCCCCCUGGGCCAAUACUGACGCUCAUGCACGAAAGCGUGGGGGAGCAAAACAGGAUUAGAUACCCUGGUAGUCCACGCCCUAAACGAUGUCAACUAGUUGUUGGGGAUUCAUUUCCUUAGUAACUAGCUAACGCGUGAAGUUGACCGCCUGGGGAGUACGGUCGCAAGAUUAAAACUUAAAUGAAUUGACGGGGUCAUAGCUG